ACUGGUUUAGGGCCUGACCUCGCUGCCGUUGGUGGAGCGGAUGGGCGCCCUGAGCCGCUUGGAUCUGGCUGGGAACGAACUGCGGGCGCUGCCGGCGCUGGGGGCGCUGCGGAGGCUGCGGGUGAGAAACCAGUAUGGACCAGUACAAACCAGUAUAGACCAGUAUAGACCAGUACAGACCAGUACAGGCCAGUACAGGCCAGUACAGGCCAGUAACCAACCCAGUUACACCAGUAACGCACCCCAGUUUGUCCCAGUAACUCCCAGUCCAUCCCAGUUUGUCCCAGUUUGAUCCCAGUCCCUCCCAGUAUAAACCAGUCCCAUCCCAGUCCAUCCCAGUCCCUCCCAGUCCCUCCCAGUCCCUCCCAGUUUGAUCCCAGUCCCUCCCAGUCCCUCCCAGUCCAUCCCAGUACGUCCCAGUCUGUCCCAGUACGUCCCAGUUUGCAGGAGCUGGAUCUCUCCGGGAACCACGUGACCGAGGUGGGCGUGGCCUCGCCCCUCCCCCGCCUGCGGCUGCUGCGGCUGGACCGGAACCGUACGGGAACCUACUGGUUUAUACUGGUUUAUACUGGUUUAUACUGGUUUAUACUGGUUUGGGCUGGGAAUGGGGCUGGGGGCACUGGGAUAAACUGGGA
rnacentral:lncRNA from 1 species